AACGUUCUCUUUUCCAAUGUCCAGAGAAUACCCAAGAAUCGGGAGACCCAGUAAGUAUGCAACUGCCAUUCAAAGAAUAAUAGCUCAGAGAAAAAAUUACCCAGAAAAUGUGCAGCUUCAUGCCUGGCAAUUCUAUCCUGAUAAUCAGGGAAGAAGGUUGAGAAUGCACCGAUUGCAGCCUGAAGAA